UACGAAGGACCCAAGCGUUAUCCGGAUUUAUUGGGUUUAAAGGGUGCGUAGGCGGAUUGUUAAGUCAGUGGUGAAAGCUCCGAGCCCAACUCGGAAACUGCCAUUGAUACUGAUGAUCUUGAGUACAUUUGAGGUGGGCGGAAUGUGUCAUGUAGCGGUGAAAUGCUUAGAUAUGACACAGAACACCGAUUGCGAAGGCAGCUAGCUAAACCGACAUUGACGCUGAGGCACGAAAGCGUGGGGAUCAAACAGG
rnacentral:rRNA from 1 species